AUGGUUUCCUGUGGUCGCACUGCCGUGAACAUCAAUGGGGAGAUUGACCCCUACUUCCCCACCCUUUGUGGGGUGAGGCAGGGUGACUCUUUCUCCCCGUUCCUGUUUAAUAUGGUGGUGGACGCACUGGUUGCCAUCCUGGACAAGGCUAAGGCGGCAGGCCAUAUUCAUGGGCUCGCGCCCCACUUGGCCGGUGGCACCGGCAUCUCCCUGCUCUAGUACGCUGACGACACCAUCAUCAUGGUCGAAGGCUCGGACGCGGACAUCGCUAACCUUAAGUUCCUCCUCCCCUGCUUCCAACAAAUGUUUGGCCUCAAGAUCAACUUCGACAAGAGUGAUGUGAUGGUGAUGGGCUACUCUCCGGCUGAGGCUCGUGACAUUGCCAACCGCCUGAAUUGCCGCCUUGGCUCCUUCCCCAUCACCUACCUGGGAACGCCCGUCAGUGACUCUCGGCUCACUGUUGCUGAUCUGCGACCGUCUGUUGCCAAGUUG
rnacentral:rRNA from 1 species